rnacentral:misc_RNA from 1 species
GGCACUAUUACAAUUUUCCCCAAUGAAAAUUGUGCAUAUAUACAUGAGCUAAUUAUCAUAUGAUCAUUGCAUAUCAACAGAUCAUGGCAGAAGAGGUGAAGCUAAUAAACUCAGGGUCAAGUCCCAUUGGGUUGAGGGUUGUUUGGGCACUAAAGCUGAAGGGCAUCCAAUAUGAGUUCAUUGAAGAAGAUCUCUUCAACAAGAGUACUUUACUUCUCCAACAUAAUCCAAUUUACAAGAAAGUUCCAGUGCUGAUACAUAAUGGAAAGCCAAUUGUAGAAUCUCUAAUCAUUCUUCAAUACAUAGAAGAAACUUGGAAGCAAAAUCCUAUAUUGCCUGCUGACCCUUACGAGAAAGCCAUGUCAAACUUCUGGGCAAACUUUGGUGAUGAUAAGGUUCUGCCAUCAAUAUGGUAUGCUUUUAUCAAGAAAGGUAAAAAGCAAGAGGAAGCUAUAACUGAAGCCUGGGAGAACUUGAAAUUUUUAGAAGAAGAGCUAAGAGGAAAGAAAUUCUUUGGUGGGGAAAAUAUAGGACUAGUAGAUAUUGCAUCUGGUUGGCUUGCUAUAACUGUAAGUGUAUUGGAGGAGCUGGUUGGAAUCAAAGUGAUUGAUGGAGAGAAGUUUCCAUUGUUGGUGAGAUGGAUGAAAGUUUUCUCAGACUCUCCUGUGAUCAAAGAAAACUGGCCGCCCAGAGAUGCGCUAAUGUCCACAUAUAGUGCUUUUCUUCAAAGUUGCCAUUCUAAUUGAUUCAAGGCCAAGCAUGCACCCAAAAUAGGAUGGGAUGAAAGUUCUUAAUUGUGCAUUAGAGUCCUUUUCUGGGGUUGGAUCUUAUGUACUGUUUAAUUAUCCAUACAGAUUCCUGUCUCUUUUGUUUUAUUUCCGUCACUUUUUCAGCUAUUGUGUGAUAGUUUUUAUUUUUGCUGCUGGUGUUCUACUUUGUUGGGUGAUUUUUAUUUUUUGGGUUAAUCCUCUGGGUACCAUGGUACUCUGGUUUAGUCGGUUCCCAUCAUUGUUCAUCUUUCUUUUUAUUAAUAAAGGUCUGCUUAUAAAAAAAU